AUUCAACUGACGAGUCCCAAAUAGGAAGAAACGCGCAUCCAACUGGAU
rnacentral:hammerhead_ribozyme from 1 species